rnacentral:tRNA from 1 species
AAGGAAAUGGAAGACGUUUGUCUUGUCUUAUUUAGUUUUGAGAGGUCUUAUAUAAGCUUCAUGAUAAGAUAGCACACCACUAAUAAUGCAAAACCAGUUUAUUAGUCGGGGCCUUAGCUCAGCUGGGAGAGCGCCUGCUUUGCACGCAGGAGGUCAGCGGUUCGAUCCCGCUAGGCUCCAUAGGAUAUAAGUCCACCUAAACUUAAUAAUAAGUGAAGUUGAACACGCAACUAACUUCCUAGGAAAAUAGAUAAUCUUCCUUGUGUGCAAGCACACUGUGUCAGAUUCCUAAUUUUCUACAGAAGUUUCGCUAAAGCGACCGUUGCUUUGUAUCCUAGUAUAGUCCAUUGAAAAUUGAAUAACUAUAUCAAAUUCCACGAUCAUGAAAAUGAUUGUAGAAAAGUAACAAGAAAUAAACCGAAAAAAAGAUAAACGCGAACAUAUUAAAAAAAAUCAAGAAGGUCGCAAGACUGGAAAU